ACUCCAACCUGCAAGAUGGGAACCAUUAACUCAUGAGAUGUGAAGCUCAGAAGCUGCAUGGACAGAUGGUUAUUUUGUCCUUAUCCUCACUCAAACAGAAGAACAAGGUGUGGACUAAGCAGAAAACUAAUUCAAAUAUCAAUGAAAUUUAGAGGAUGGAGUACUGAAACAGAGACAUUAAGUGUGGCAGCUCAACAUUUCACACUUGGAUGGAGGGGCCCAACACUGAAAGGGAUGAAGGUGUCGACCAGAGGCAGUCUGCCCGUUUCACAAAAGGAUUGCCAGUGUUGAAAAUUCCAUUUGUUACUAACAAAUUUAUCUGGCGGACUCUGAACCUUCUGGAGAGACAUGGAGUUAAAGCUAAUGUAGUGUGUAGUGCACCAAUAACGCUGAAACAACAAUUGGUUUAUUUCUCUUGAUUAUAUAAUAAGAAGUGUGAGUUUAAAGACUGCAGUAUUUGUGAAAGGAGAGAGGGUUGAGUUUGUAUAAAGGUGGUGAUUUAUAAGAUUGUGUGUUUGGAAUGCUUCUCUUUCUACAUAGGUGAAAUGGGGAGACCGUUAAGAGAUAGAUAUCAUUGGAUAUGUGUUAUAAUGGGAGGUGUACUAAGCC